rnacentral:rRNA from 1 species
UUCUAAUUUCAAAAUUAGUAGGCCCCGCUCAUUGAGCAUAUUUAACAGCCGCAGUAUAUUAACUGUGCUAAGGUAGCAUAAUAAUUAGGUCUUUAAUAAAGAUCUAGAAUGAUAGGGUUGAUGAUUUCUAAGCUUUCUCGUUUAAAAAGAGAAGUUUAUUUUUAAGUAAAAAAGCUUAGCUUUCUAGAGGGACGAUAAGACCCUGUAAAGCUUUACCCUGCGGCAAGUUUCUAAAAGAAAGGAACAGGUAAACGGGUUAAGCUGGGGCGGCAAUUAAAGUACCUUAAUUUAAGUAACGAGGUUUUCGGGACGGGAGAUCUUUAUAGAGUUAGAAUAAGCUACUUUAGGGAUAACAGCGCAAUUUUUUUAAAGAGAUCUUAUCGAUAAAAAAGACUUGCGACCUCGAUGUUGAAUUGAGGGUCCUAAACUAGGCAGCAUUAGUUUCAGGGAGUCUGUUCGACUUUUAAUUCCUC